GGUGAUUAUCGGGUGGUUCCCUAAUCUCCCUGCGUAGGAGAGGGUUUCGUAUCGGCCGGGGCCGAGCGGUGCGCGUCCGGUGGUGAUCACC
rnacentral:tRNA from 1 species